rnacentral:miRNA from 1 species
CUCGGCCGCGGCGCGUAGCCCCCGCC